rnacentral:rRNA from 1 species
AGCAGCCGCGGUAAUUCCAGCUCCAAUAGCGUAUAUUAAAGUUGCUGCAAGUUAAAAAGCUCGUAGUUGAAUUUCGGGACCAAUAUGUCGGUCGUGCCUCGGUACGUACUGGCAUCGUUGGUUUCUCCCUUCUGACGAACCAUGAUGUCAUUUAUUUGGUGUCGUGGGGAAUCAGGACUGUUACUUUGAAAAAAUUAGAGUGUUUAAAGCAAGGCUCACGCUUGAAUACAUUAGCAUGGAAUAAUGAAAUAGGACGUUUGAUUCUAUUUUGUUGGUUUCUAGGAUCGACGUAAUGAUUAAUAGGGAUAGUUGGGGGCAUUAGUAUUCAAUUGUCAGAGGUGAAAUUCUUGGAUUUAUUGAAGACUAACUACUGCGAAAGCAUUUGCCAAGGAUGUUUCAUUAAUCAAGAACGAAGGUUAGGGGAUCGAAGACGAUCAGAUACCGUCGUAGUCUUAACCAUAAACCUAUAGGCCGACUAGGGAUCGGAUGAUGUAAUUUUUAAUGACUCAUUCGGACGUCC